AAAUGAAACACCUUGUCUGAAGAAGAAAUAUGUAAAUACAAACUACAUUUCCCAGUACCCAGUGCCCAGUGUCUAAAUGCAAAAAAGUCCACUAUAUUACUCCUUUAGGAUCUAUUGCCCUUGCCUAGGUUGCACUGUUUUUUCCUGCUGUGUUUACAAUACAUCCCAGAGUCAGAAACUUCCUUACAUUCUACAAAACAUUAGAUCAGCAACCCUGAAGCAUGUUGAGCUCCAUUGGGAAAACUAUACAUACCUUUUAUGUAUAGGAAUCCUGCUAUUCCUGCAACUGCUGCUCAAACAGCAACAUCCAAAAUAAGAUGAUCUCUGCUGCUUCUGUGAUGCCUGUCUCCAUUGAAAAGAGAAGGAUUGAUUAGUUAGAAUGCAACUGUGUGCUACACUACUUCAGAAUAAAUACAACCCUGAGUAUGUUUUAUAGGUAUUUGUUUUUUUAAAUGUAACCUCAAGAAAUUACCAGAGUCCGUUAUUAGCAAAACCCUACACCAGCUCUAGGAAAGUUAGAAGUGAAUGCAAAACUUGGCAGUUUUCAAUAGCAAAGAGUAGAAGCUCACUCAAGAUGCAGACAUCUACCUGUGGCUUGUGUAUGACUGAAGUCCAGAAAAUGCUGAUUCUAUUCCAGAAGUGAGCCUGCCCUCUUACACCCCACAGUCCCAUCUCAUGCUGAUGGUGAGACUCAAACUUCAGAAGCAGUGCUUGCAGGAAAUGUUGCUCCUCAUUAAACCCAGAAUAAAUGAGAUCGGAGCUCAACUGCUGAUGUAGAACUGAUGUUAUGGAUUUGGGGCUUCAAACACAAACCACAGGUGUCAAG